UACGGGGGGGGCAAGCGUUGUUCGGAAUUACUGGGCGUAAAGGGCUCGUAGGCGGCCAACUAAGUCAGACGUGAAAUCCCUCGGCUUAACCGGGGAACUGCGUCUGAUACUGGAUGGCUUGAGUUUGGGAGAGGGAUGCGGAAUUCCGGGUGUAGUGGUGGAAUGCGUAGAGAUCCGGAGGAACACCAGCGGCGAAGGCGGCAUCCUGGACUGGUCCUGACACUCAGGAGCGAAAGCGUGGGGAGCGAUCCGG
rnacentral:rRNA from 1 species